AAUAUUUGUCUUCUCAUCCUUGAAUGCUCAGCUGUUUCCGAUUGUUUCGAGGUUAAACUCUCAUGAAAACAAAUUGUUGAUCCUAGAGCCUAUGACAAUGAUGACUUUAAAAUAAUAAUUUGAAAUUCCCAUGAAAAUACAUUUUCCCCUAAUUUGGUUCAGUCAACCUUGAAAUAUAAGUUCUGAUGGUCUUGUUUUCAUCAUAAAUUUGAUGAAAGUGAAAUGUUUAUAAACAUUAAAAACAUUAGCUCAUAAAUUCAUUUCCAAUGAUAGAAGCUGUAAUACAAUGCAACAAAUUAGAGAGUUAAUAGCCUGGGCUGGAUACAUGUUUUCAAGUAAAAGCCAAGCAUUCUGGCUCAUAAGGAUCAACAUUAAUUGUUGAAGUUACAAGAUGCAAUUUAAUUUGGCCUAAGGUGAUGUGAAUUCACUGAGAAAUAUUCCUCGUAAUUAUCAAGUUCCAAUCAUUCUGAAUAAACUUUACCCUUCACAUUCAAGGCCAAGGUUCUUCUCGGUUAUCCACGUUAUUGACUUAAUCAAGGAAAGAUGAUCAGUUGAUUUGGAUGUUGAAAAAGUCAAGUGAAGAAAGCAAAGAGUUUAAAAAAAGAUGUUAACCCGUUGUGAGGAUCAAUCCCGUCAGAUCCCUUCAUUGAUACAGACUUUCUAAUCAUUUAACUCAAGCCUUGAGCAACUAAUGCAAUCCUCCUCUUCAAUCAUCAUCAUCAUCAUCAUCUUUCUUCCCCUCUUUUCAGCAGCAAACUUCAUAACAAAUUAACGGACUAAACAACUUCUUCUUUUUGGUAUAAUCUUUUUCCUUGCUCAUGAAAUGAUCUGCUCCGAAUCCGAUUUUAUUUCCUGGUCUGUUCCCGAGAAAAGAAGGAGUGAAAUGAUGCCAUGUUCCGGUAGCAAUGAGAAGAAGAGGAAUCAGAUGAUGAAGAUAACGUGGAUGACUUUAAAGGUAAAUAUUGAAGGAUAAUUUGAUCAACAAGUUAAAAGCCGGAUAAUUUGAUGAAAACAAAAACAGAUGCUUCAACACUUUUAUGUACUGUUGAUAAUUACCAUGCUCAUGUUGAUUUUUUGCUCAAUCAACUGACUCUAAUUUUAUCCUGAUUGAAUAGCAAUAACAAUUGAAUUAACCCUGAUUUAAAUAACCAUGUAAUCAGUAUUAUUAGUUGGUAAUCAGUUGACCUACUUACCAAAUAAUAUUUACUUUUAAAUAUUUGUUAAGUUAACCUGUCUGAUGUUUGAAUAUAAUUAAAAAUUUUCAAGGCAAUGAAAUAAAGGAUCAACACUUGAUUUUUAUCAUCGUCUAAA